rnacentral:lncRNA from 1 species
GUAAAACCGUGGGAGCUGGCCGGGAAGCGCCAGCCCUGUGGGGAAACGGGACGGAGGGCUGCCGGGACACCGCGGGGCAGGGCGCGGAGAAGGGCGAGGACUGCCGUGAGUGGCAGCUCCGAGUGGGACAGCCUGAGCCCAGCCAGUGACGCCUCCCUGCCGCUUGUGCGUGGCCGCGGUGCUGCCUGCAGUGCGAGCUCGAGAGGAGCGGGGUGCACCUCAUGACUCUCCUCCGCGUGCGCAUGAACGCAGGGCGGCUGUACGGGGCUGUGGGGAUCGGAAGGGCCUUAGAAAGGGUAGAAAAUACCAGUGACAUCAGAAGCCCAGUGUCUUAGUAUAACAGAAAGUUGGAUCUGUUGCACUUUUAGACAGAAUUAUCCGGAGGAUGUGACAAUGACAGAAAAAAAAUGUGCUUUGCUAUCUUUAAAACUGAUUUGCUCAGCAAUGCUGGAGUAUUAUGGACUUGGAAUAUGGAAUCAUAGUUUUCCCUAUAGAAAGAAUAAACAUACUCUUCAUGACUCGCUGUAGGUUUACCUGUGUACUAAAAUAGCACUUACAGUUUUAAAUACUGCAGCACAAGCUUACGUGCAGGGUCCACAGAAGGAGAAAUGUGUGCAUGAGUGGAUAGUGUUUGAUUUAUUUGGAGAUGAGCAAACAGAUGUAUCUAGGCUGGUUACUCUCAUGUAUUACCUACUGAAAAAAAUAUAAAUUCUUUUUCUUUGGAUGUUCGGCUUCAAUCACUGUAACAUUACCUAUUGUAUGACCAAUUGUACGUGGAUAACAUGAACACUUGUUUCUGUGUAUACAGAUAACUGUUUAAUAUUUCAGUAUAUUUUUUCUGCCAACAGCAUCCAAGGAGUUCAUUCUCAUAGCAAUGUUUGGCCUGCAGGCUGAUGAGCAGGAGGUAAGGUGGAGGACACCACCACCAGUAUUCUGUUUAAAAGAAUGCUCUUUUCCACUUAAAUCUGUAUGCACUGGAAUGAAGGAGAGAUCUCAGUUCUGCUCUAGAGUUGUGUUACACAGGGACCUAAGUUUUGCUCAGCUGUAUUAUCUGACUUCAGCUUGGUCUUGACAGAGCCUUUCCCUUUCCAAUGUGAAAGUGUUCAGGCAGCUUGUACAUGAUCAUCCUAAAUGAUUGUCAUCAUCAUCGUGAUCCAUUUAUAACAGAAACAUGGAAUCUAUGUAUCCAUAGCUCAACACGCAGAACUUGCUUAAGGUUGUUUUUCAGGUGCUAAAUUCAUCCUUUCAACUUACGUAGUCACAGAGAAGUAUGAUCUUCUGUGGUUGGAAUUUCUGCAGGCUGCCUGAGCUCCGUAUGAGGUCAUUUAUUUUGCACUGAUGAAUCCCUUAUUUCUCUACGUGAUUGUUUUACACAUGAGCCAGCAGGAAGAGUUCAUCACCUGAGUUGCUUCACUCCUGUAUUCAUCAAAUUCUUUUUGUCAUCACGUAAAGGCACUUGCACAAGAUCUCUGAGUACCCAACAGUACUGAAAAACAGUCCUAUGCUAUGUCUGUACAAACUGAAAGUUUUUACUAGCUACAACAAAAAAAGUGUUACUAGUUUUCACUUUUCCAACCUGAGGAUAGGAAGCAGAGCUCUACUAAGUGGCAACACUAUGCAUCAUUUUGUGG